GCGCGCACACUAAUAAGUGCCAUGGUGGUGGACGUUUUAUUUAUGGUGGAAGGCAGUCGGUACAAGCCAUAAUUAAUGUUCCCUUAAAGUUGUUUUUGUCCUUGAAAAUCCUUAACACAAUAAUGAGUCGGCAAAAACUCCAUGAAAACAUUAUUGUCACGAGUUAAUUCAGAAACACUAAGAAGACUUUUGAUGAGUUUAGGAACAAUAAACACAUUAGGUAAGCAAAGAUUAGGCAAUAAACAUGAACCCGCAU
rnacentral:lncRNA from 1 species